CCGGCGCGCUCACCUCCGCGGAGCAGUUUGAAGCUCUGGGAUUUCCUGCUCCUCUUCCUCUCGGAGAACUCCAUGGUGCGGGGGCAGCGCCGCGGCCGGGCGGCCGGUCACCCGGCGGCGGGGGCGCCGGGACCAAGAGGCUGAGAAGUCCCACAACCUAUAUCUGCAAGCUGGAGUCCCAGGAGAGCUGCUGGUAUAAUCCAAUCUGAGUCAAAAGGCCUGAGGACCAAGGAAGAGGAUGGUGUUGGUCCUAGUCCAAGGGCAGAAGACUGAUGUCCCAGCUCAAGCAGGCAGUUACCUGUGUUCAACCAUGGCAUGACAGUAUUAAAUGGAAAAUUCCAGAAAGAAAUAAUUGUCAGAAGGGAAAUGCCACCUCUCAUUUGAGCGCAUGUAUGAAAAAAAUCUUGGUUGAGAAGCAGUGCCCUGAGCAUAAACUUGAAAGAAGUGGAAGAUCUGGAUAAGCAGAGAUUGGGCUUCAUAAAGCAGGAGUAGCCAUGGCGCACUGGGGAGUGGUGUUGAACUGGAGAGAGGCAGAGCUGGCUUGACUCAGUGAGUGAAGCUAAAAAUGCCUAUCUGCCAAUACAAAAGGUCAGACCUGUCUUCAGAAUGAGGCAACCUUCUAGAACGCCCAUGCUCUGGGACAUAUCAAGACUGAAGAAACAGGAGGAAACGAGGUCAGCCUCCUCCGCCCCAGCCUCAGUUGUUAUGGAUGGCUAACGAGAUAAGAAGCAUGAAUGUGCUUUGACAAUUAUGAAGCAUUAUUUACAUGUGAAGCGCUGCUAUUAGUCCUUAGAGUCCUAUGCAGGAAGAAGAACGACACAUAGCUGUGCGGUUUCUCUCAACGGAGACCUUCAACUAACUGAGCGACAGCGAGGUGGGAGAGGCCAGCAGCAGCCC